CCACCCAACCCCACCCUCUCUAACAAACAGGCAGAUGAAGAUUUCGAUCUGUACAAAAUCAAAUGCUUGGACAAACAUGCCGAAGUCUGAUGAUGACUCAGUUGGUUGACUGUCGAAUUGGGCACAGAUACUCAGAGGUAGUUGGGAAAAGUGAAAAGAAAAUGACAUUAUUAUCUAGCAUGGGCAUUAAGGAGAGAAUUGAAAGGAAAAUGAUGUUAUUGAUCAUCUUUAUGCUAUCAUCUUUCCUUUUUUCAUA